GGGGCUGUGGGACAAUGGUAGUGCAUUUGCUUUCCAUGCAGAAGGUCCCAGGUUCAAUCCCUGGCAUCUCCA